rnacentral:rRNA from 1 species
CCAGACUCCUACGGGAGGCAGCAGUGGGGAAUAUUGCACAAUGGGGGAAACCCUGAUGCAGCGACGCCGCGUGAAGGACGAAGUAUUUCGGUACGUAAACUUCUAUCAGCAGGGAAGAAAAUGACGGUACCUGACCAAGAAGCCCCGGCUAACUACGUGCCAGCAGCCGCGGUAAUACGUAGGGGGCAAGCGUUAUCCGGAUUUACUGGGUGUAAAGGGAGCGUAGACGGCCGUGCAAGUCUGAUGUGAAAACCCGGGGCUCAACCCCGGGACUGCAUUGGAAACUGCAUGGCUGGAGUGUCGGAGAGGCAAGUGGAAUUCCUAGUGUAGCGGUGAAAUGCGUAGAUAUUAGGAGGAACACCAGUGGCGAAGGCGGCUUGCUGGACGACGACUGACGUUGAGGCUCGAAAGCGUGGGGAGCAAACAGGAUUAGAUACCCUAGUAA